AGUGUUGUGGCUCUGGCCUGCCUAUUUACCUGCACACAAAGAAGGCUCAGAGCGCCUAUCUAGCUAUGUAUCCUGCCUCUUGUUUACCCUUCUGGUCAUAUGCCAUUUAAGGGGGCUGAUUCCUUGGUAAUGAUAACCUAGGGAAAACCCUGGGAAUUAGUUCCUACACAUACAUGUACGGCCUCCUUUGAGUGAUGCUAUAUAUGAUUAGUCUGGAUCUGGAUAGAAGAGGGCGGUAAUGUGUUACCAGGGGGAUAAACCCAGGCAGCUGUACCUGCAUGAGGUGGCUGGGUAAUAUAUUAAAUAUCGGAUCUAAACACAGUGGUACUU
rnacentral:lncRNA from 1 species